UAGCUACAGGCUUAACACAUGCAAGUCGAGGGGCAGCAUGGUCUUAGCUUGCUAAGGCCGAUGGCGACCGGCGCACGGGUGAGUAACACGUAUCCAACCUGCCGUCUACUCUUGGACAGCCUUCUGAAAGGAAGAUUAAUACAAGAUGGCAUCAUGAGUCCGCAUGUUCACAUGAUUAAAGGUAUUCCGGUAGACGAUGGGGAUGCGUUCCAUUAGAUAGUAGGCGGGGUAACGGCCCACCUAGUCUUCGAUGGAUAGGGGUUCUGAGAGGAAGGUCCCCCACAUUGGAACUGAGACACGGUCCAAACUCCUACGGGAGGCAGCAGUGAGGAAUAUUGGUCAAUGGGCGAGAGCCUGAACCAGCCAAGUAGCGUGAAGGAUGACUGCCCUAUGGGUUGUAAACUUCUUUUAUAAAGGAAUAAAGUCGGGUAUGCAUACCCGUUUGCAUGUACUUUAUGAAUAAGGAUCGGCUAACUCCGUGCCAGCAGCCGCGGUAAUACGGAGGAUCCGAGCGUUAUCCGGAUUUAUUGGGUUUAAAGGGAGCGUAGAUGGAUGUUUAAGUCAGUUGUGAAAGUUUGCGGCUCAACCGUAAAAUUGCAGUUGAUACUGGAUAUCUUGAGUGCAGUUGAGGCAGGCGGAAUUCGUGGUGUAGCGGUGAAAUGCUUAGAUAUCACGAAGAACUCCGAUUGCGAAGGCAGCCUGCUAAGCUGCAACUGACAUUGAGGCUCGAAAGUGUGGGUAUCAAACAGGAUUAGAUACCCUGGUAGUCCACACGGUAAACGAUGGAUACUCGCUGUUUGCGAUAUACAGCAAGCGGCCAAGCGAAAGCGUUAAGUAUUCCACCUGGGGAGUACGCCGGCAACGGUGAAACUCAAAGGAAUUGACGGGGGCCCGCACAAGCGGAGGAACAUGUGGUUUAAUUCGAUGAUACGCGAGGAACCUUACCCGGGCUUAAAUUGCAGAUGAAUUACGGUGAAAGCCGUAAGCCGCAAGGCAUCUGUGAAGGUGCUGCAUGGUUGUCGUCAGCUCGUGCCGUGAGGUGUCGGCUUAAGUGCCGUAACGAGCGCAACCCUUGUUGUCAGUUACUAACAGGUCAUGCUGAGGACUCUGACAAGACUGCCAUCGUAAGAUGUGAGGAAGGUGGGGAUGACGUCAAAUCAGCACGGCCCUUACGUCCGGGGCUACACACGUGUUACAAUGGGGGGUACAGAGGGCCGCUACCACGCGAGUGGAUGCCAAUCCCAAAAACCUCUCUCAGUUCGGACUGGAGUCUGCAACCCGACUCCACGAAGCUGGAUUCGCUAGUAAUCGCGCAUCAGCCACGGCGCGGUGAAUACGUUCCCGGGCCUUGUACACACCGCCCGUCAAGCCAUGGGAGCCGGGGGUACCUGAAGUGCGUAACCGCGAGGAGCGCCCUAGGGUAAAACUGGUGACUGGGGCUAAGUCGUAA
rnacentral:rRNA from 1 species